UGGGUGCUGUCUCAGAUGACCUGGGGGAGUCCAGACGCAGCAGAGGCGCCUCAUUGGGUGUGUGUGGGUGGGGCGACUGGUGCCAGGACCCAGCUCACCGUCUCCUCAGAGAGCUCGUCUGCCCCGACACUCUUCCCCCUCGCCUCCUGUGAGAGCCCCGUGUCCGACGAGAGCCCAGUGGCCUUGGGCUGCCUAGCCCGGGACUUCCUGCCUGGCUCCAUCACCUUCUCCUGGAGCUACCCGGACGGCAUCGCGGUCAGUAGCCAGAGCAUCAAGACCUUCCCGUCCGUCCUGCGGGAGGGCAAGUAUGUGGCCACCUCCCAGGUGCUCCUGCCCUCCCAGAGCGCCCUCCAGGGGUCAGAGCUGAUUUGCAAAGUCCAGCACUCCAAGGGGAACUCGGACGUGGUUGUGACCCCCCCAGUGCUGUGUCUCCUACAGCCCGGGACCUGAGACUGUUCCUUUGAGAUGGAGCCACCAG